AAGAAAGGCUCUCUCAGACAAAUAGAGAAAAACACAGAUGGAACCUUUACAACUAAAAUCCAGGAGACCAUUACUCUGUCAGACACACAUGAUGGAUACAUAAUCAGAUGUUUCACCAGAAAUCCUGCGGCUGAAAUAAGCGACAUAGCAAAGACAGAAGUGACUCUCAGGGUUUCAUAUGCUCCUAGAAACACCUCAGCAUCCAUCAGUCCAUCAGGUUUGGUGUCAGAAGGUAGCUGGGUGGAGCUGAACUGCUCCAGCAAAGCCAACCCUCCACCCAGAUUCACCUGGUUCAAGAAAGGCCCAGAAAGACUCACUAAAGCAGCUACAGGCAUCUUUCACAAGGUUAAAUUCACUCAGGGCGAUCAGUACUUCUGUGUAGCUUCCAAUAAGCUGGGUAAACAGAAAUCAUCACCGAUCAAUCUCAGAACAAAAAGUACAAACGGAGUUGGAGCCUGGAUUUUCGUAGUAAUAGGGGGCGUGGGAUUGGUAGUUCUUGGCGGUGCAGUCUUCGUCAUUGACAGCUGCAUCAAUCGCUCCUAAUCUAGUCAAGCUCUUGAGUUGUGCUUGUGUGCAACACUAAAAAUAAAAUGCUGCAACUCGA